CAGCAGCCGCGGUAAUACCAGCUCUCCGAGUGGUGUGGAUGUUUAUUGGGCCUAAAGCAUCCGUAGCUGGCUAAGUUAGUCCCCUGUUAAAUCCAACGAAUUAAUCGUUGGAUCGCGGGGGAUACUGCUUGGCUAGGGGACGAGAGAGGCAGACGGUAUUUCCGGGGUAGGGGUGAAAUCCUAUAAUCCCGGGAAGACCACCAGUGGCGAAGGCUGUCUGCUAGAACGCGCCCGACGGUGAGGGAUGAAAGCUGGGGGAGCGAACCGGAUUAGAUACCCGGGUAGUCCCAGCUGUAAACGAUGCAGGCUAGGUGUUUGGACGGCCACGUGCCGUUCUAGUGCCGCAGGGAAGCUGUUAAGCCUGCCGCCUGGGGAGUACGAUCGCAAGAUUGAAACUUAAAGGAAUUGGCGGGGGAGCACCACAAGGGGUGAAGCUUGCGGUUUAAUUGGAGUCAACGCCGGAAAUCUCACCGGGAGCGACGGAUAUAUGAAGGUCAAGCUGAUGACUUUACCUGAUUUUCCGAGAGGAGGUGCAUGGCC
rnacentral:rRNA from 1 species